UACAGGGGGUGCAAACGUUGCUCGGAAUCAUUGGGCGUAAAGCGCACGUAGGCGGUCUGUUAUGUCGGAUGUGAAAGCCCUUGGCUCAACUGAGGAAGUGCAUCCGAAACUGGCAGGCUAGAGUACUAAAGAGGAUCGCGGAAUUCCCGGUGUAGAGGUGAAAUUCGUAGAUAUUCGGAAGAACACCAGUGGCGAAGGCGGCUCACUGGACCGGUAUUGACGCUGAGGUGCGAAAGCGUGGGGAGCAAACAGG
rnacentral:rRNA from 1 species